CACCAGGUUGAUUCUGCCUGACGUGGAUGCUAGUUUGCGAGACUAAGCCAUGCAUGCUUGCGAAGUGCGUUGUGCGCGGAGCGGCAGACGGCUCAGUAAUACUGCGAUGAUUUGUUCGGGGAGGCUGUGUAGCCGCGGGAAACUGUGGGUAGGCGGCUGGGCUGCACUGGGUUGCUGGGGCGGUGUCUGAGUAAGUUGCAGACCUAUUAGCUGGUAGCUAGGGUAAUGGCCUAGCUAGGCGAUGAUGGGAGACGGGGAAUUUGGGUUUGGUUCCGGAGAGGGAGCCUGAGAGAUGGCUACUACGUCCAAGGAUGGCAGCAGGCGCGGAACUUGCCGAAUCCUUUUGGGAGGCAGUUAGCAAGCGUUGUUUUUGUUUGGAAUUGCAAAGAGAUUCCUUGAGAUUGGAGGGCAAGUCGGGUGCCAGCAGCCGCGGUAAUACCUGCUCCAAGAGUGUCUAUGGUGGAUGCUGCAGUUAAAAGGNUCGUAGUUGUGUUGCUUGCACGCAUGUUUUGUGUGCCUGUGUGUGUGGCGGGCUGUGGAUGUGUGCGGCGAUGUGCGCAACAGACGGGGGGCACUGGAUAGUUGGGCGAGAGGUGAAAUGCGACGACCCUGACUGGACAGACGGAGGCGAAGGCGGUGCUCUUGGAUGGAUGUGAGGAUCAAGAACGAAGGCUGGAGGAUCGAAAUCGAUUAGAUACCGUUUUAGUUCCAGCAGUAAACGAUGCCGACUGGAUGGUGUGUGUUGCACUGUGCGCGAGAAAUCUGUGAGUGUGUGGGCUCUGGGGAUAGUAUGAUCGCAAGAGGGAAACUUAAAGAGAUUGACGGAAGGACACCACCAGGAGUGGAGUGUGCGGCUUAAUUUGACUCAACGCGGGACAACUUACCAAUGCCGAGAUGUGUUUGAGAGCGGAGCGCGAGACACGUGGCGGUGGUGCAUGGCCGUUUGAAAUGGAUGGCGUGAGCUGAGGAUUAAUUUCCGGAAGAUGUGAGACCCUUUGACUGCGUUUGUGGAGAGCGAGGAGGGGAGGGAACACAACAGGUCCGUUAUGCCCUGAGAUGUGUUGGGCUGCACGCGCACUACGAUAUUCUGCGGUUGCGGAGAUGUGCGGGAUUGAUGCUUGUGAAUGUGUCAUGAACGUGGAAUUCCUAGUAAGGGCUGUUCAUUAGGCUGUCUUGAAUGGGUCCCUGUCCUUUGUACACACCGCCCGUCGCUAUCUAAGAUGGUGUUUUGGACGAAGACUGCGAGGUCUGAGUUCUGGAUACUAGAUAAGAUAUAAGUCGUAACAUGGCUGCUGUUGGAGAACCAGCUGCAGGAUCAGUG
rnacentral:rRNA from 1 species